UACAGAGGGCUCAAGCGUUGUUCGGAUUCAUUGGGCGUAAAGGGUGCGUAGGCGGCGCGGUAAGUCGGAUGUGAAAUCUCGGAGCUUAACUCCGAAACUGCAUUCGAUACUGCCGUGCUUGAGGACUGGAGAGGAGACUGGAAUUUACGGUGUAGCGGUGAAAUGCGUAGAUAUCGUAAGGAAGACCAGUGGCGAAGGCGGGUCUCUGGACAGUUCCUGACGCUGAGGCACGAAGGUCAGGGGAGCAAACGGG
rnacentral:rRNA from 1 species